CCUGCCCCUAGAAGCCUCGCAGGUGAGGCUGCCGUUCAGUUCACAUGAUGCGUCACAUCAGCAGGUGGCAGAGAGGAGGACGCUAGUCUAGGCUCAGUGCUCUGACCUGAGAACGUCUGAAUGAUUAACACU